rnacentral:rRNA from 1 species
ACUAAAUAGAAACUAAGAUACGAAGCGGAGCGGGCGGACGGGUCGAGUAACACGUAGGGUAACCUAGCCCAAGAGACUGGGAUAACACCUGGAAACAGAUAGCUAAUACCGGAUAACAACACUAGACGCAUGUCUAGAGUUUGAAAGAUGGUUCUGCUAUCACUCUUGGAUGGACCUGCGGUGCAUUAGCUAGUUGGUAAGGUAACGGCUUACCAAGGCAAUGAUGCAUAGCCGAGUUGAGAGACUGAUCGGCCACAUUGGGACUGAGACACGGCCCAAACUCCUACGGGAGGCAGCAGUAGGGAAUCUUCCACAAUGGACGAAAGUCUGAUGGAGCAACGCCGCGUGAGUGAAGAAGGGUUUCGGCUCGUAAAGCUCUGUUGGUAGUGAAGAAAGAUAGAGGUAGUAACUGGCCUUUAUUUGACGAUAAUUACUUAGAAAGUCACGGCUAACUACGUG